rnacentral:rRNA from 1 species
AGAGUUUGAUCUUGGCUCAGGACGAACGCUGGCGGCGCGCCUAACACAUGCAAGUCGAGCGGAGAACAAAGAGCUUGCUCUUUGUUCUUAGCGGCGGACGGGUGAGUAACACGUGAGCAACCUGCCUUAAAGAGGGGGAUAACGUUGGGAAACCAACGCUAAUACCGCAUAACAUAUUAAGACCGCAUGGUUUUAAUAUCAAAGGAGCAAUCCGCUUUAAGAUGGGCUCGCGCCCGAUUAGGUAGUUGGUGAGGUAAUGGCUCACCAAGCCUGCGAUCGGUAGCCGGACUGAGAGGUUGAUCGGCCACAUUGGGACUGAGACACGGCCCAGACUCCUACGGGAGGCAGCAGUGGGGAAUAUUGCACAAUGGAGGAAACUCUGAUGCAGCGACGCCGCGUGAGGGAAGAAGGUCUUCGGAUUGUAAACCUCUGUCUUUGGGGAAGAUAAUGACGGUACCCAAGGAGGAAGCCACGGCUAACUACGUGCCAGCAGCCGCGGUAAUACGUAGGUGGCAAGCGUUGUCCGGAAUUACUGGGUGUAAAGGGAGCGUAGGCGGGUACGCAAGUUGAAUGUUUAACCUAUCGGCUCAACCGAUAGUCGCGUUCAAAACUGCGGAUCUUGAGUGAAGUAGAGGCAGGCGGAAUUCCUAGUGUAGCGGUGAAACGCGUAGAUAUUAGAAGGAACACCAGUGGCGAAGGCGGCCUGCUGGGCUUUUACUGACGCUGAGGCUCGAAAGCAUGGGGAGCAAACAGGAUUAGAUACCCUGGUAGUCCAUGCCGUAAACGAUGAUUACUAGGUGUGGGGGGUCUGACCCCUUCCGUGCCGCAGUUAACACAAUAAGUAAUCCACCUGGGGAGUACGGCCGCAAGGUUGAACUAAAACGAAUUGACGGA